ACUGAGUAUGGUGGUAUACACCAUAAUCCCUGCUACAGGGGAGGCUGAAAAUGAUGGAUCUCUUGAGCUCAGGAGUUCUGAGCUGCAGUAGAGCUAACAUCAAUCAGAUAACUGCACUAAGUCUGGCACUAAUAUGAUGAACCCCUGGCAGCAGGAGGCCAUGAGUCUGCCUAAAGAAGGAAAAACUGACCCAGGUCAGUAAUGGAGCAGGUCAAAGCUUCUUUGCCAAUCAGUAGUGGGAUUGGGCCCAUUGGUGACUGCUGCAUUUUUAGCCUAGUCAAGCUAGGAAGAUGUCAUCUCA
rnacentral:SRP_RNA from 1 species